rnacentral:rRNA from 1 species
CAGGCCUAACACAUGCAAGUCGAACGGUAACAGGAAGCAGCUUGCUGCUUUGCUGACGAGUGGCGGACGGGUGAGUAAUGUCUGGGAAACUGCCUGAUGGAGGGGGAUAACUACUGGAAACGGUGGCUAAUACCGCAUAACGUCGCAAGACCAAAGAGGGGGACCUUCGGGCCUCUUGCCAUCAGAUGUGCCCAGAUGGGAUUAGCUUGUUGGUGAGGUAACGGCUCACCAAGGCGACGAUCCCUAGCUGGUCUGAGAGGAUGACCAGCCACACUGGAACUGAGACACGGUCCAGACUCCUACGGGAGGCAGCAGUGGGGAAUAUUGCACAAUGGGCGCAAGCCUGAUGCAGCCAUGCCGCGUGUAUGAAGAAGGCCUUCGGGUUGUAAAGUACUUUCAGCGGGGAGGAAGGUGUUGUGGUUAAUAACCGCAGCAAUUGACGUUACCCGCAGAAGAAGCACCGGCUAACUCCGUGCCAGCAGCCGCGGUAAUACGGAGGGUGCAAGCGUUAAUCGGAAUUACUGGGCGUAAAGCGGCACGCAGGCGGUCUGUCAAGUCGGAUGUGAAAUCCCCGGGCUCAACCUGGGAACUGCAUUCGAAACUGGCAGGCUUGAGUCUUGUAGAGGGGGGUAGAAUUCCAGGUGUAGCGGUGAAAUGCGUAGAGAUCUGGAGGAAUACCGGUGGCGAAGGCGGCCCCCUGGACAAAGACUGACGCUCAGGUGCGAAAGCGUGGGGAGCAAACAGGAUUAGAUACCCUGGUAGUCCACGCCGUAAACGAUGUCUACUUGGAGGUUGUGCCCUUGAGGCGUGGCUUCCGGAGCUAACGCGUUAAGUAGACCGCCUGGGGAGUACGGCCGCAAGGUUAAAACUCAAAUGAAUUGACGGGGGCCCGCACAAGCGGUGGAGCAUGUGGUUUAAUUCGAUGCAACGCGAAGAACCUUACCUGGUCUUGACAUCCACAGAAGAAUCCAGAGAUGGAUUUGUGCCUUCGGGAACUGUGAGACAGGUGCUGCAUGGCUGUCGUCAGCUCGUGUUGUGAAAUGUUGGGUUAAGUCCCGCAACGAGCGCAACCCUUAUCCUUUGUUGCCAGCGGUUAGGCCGGGAACUCAAAGGAGACUGCCAGUGAUAAACUGGAGGAAGGUGGGGAUGACGUCAAGUCAUCAUGGCCCUUACGACCAGGGCUACACACGUGCUACAAUGGCGCAUACAAAGAGAAGCGACCUCGCGAGAGCAAGCGGACCUCAUAAAGUGCGUCGUAGUCCGGAUUGGAGUCUGCAACUCGACUCCAUGAAGUCGGAAUCGCUAGUAAUCGUGGAUCAGAAUGCCACGGUGAAUACGUUCCCGGGCCUUGUACACACCGCCCGUCACACCAUGGGAGUGGGUUGCAAAAGAAGUAGGUAGCUUAACCUUCGGGAGGGCGCUUACCAC